rnacentral:misc_RNA from 1 species
AACGCACAUUGCGCCCCUUGGUAUUCCAUGGGGCAUGCCUGUUCGAGCGUCAUUUGUACCUUCAAGCUCUGCUUGGUGUUGGGUGUUUGUCCUCUCCCUGCGAUUGGACUCGCCUUAAAGUCAUUGGCAGCCAGUGUUUUGGUUUUGAAGCGCAGCACAAGUCGCGAUUCAAGCCGGUAGCACCCGCUUCCAUCAAGCCUUUUUAUCACUUUUGACCUCGGAUCAGGUAGGGAUACCCGCUGAACUUAA